GAGCUCGGGGCGCCGCGCCCCCCGCGGCCGUCAGCGCGGGGUCUGAAGGGUAAAGCGGGGCCGGGAGGGCUGCGCCGGGAGCCGGGCGCCGCGGCCCCCCCUGGAAAGUUACCGGCCGGGGGGUCCCGAGCUGGGGAAGCCGCCGGGAUGCCGCUUUCCGAGAGGGAGCCGGCGGGGAGGCUCCGCGUAGCUAUGUGUAGGUGCGAGCUGCCUGCCAGUCAUGUCCUCCUCCGGUCUGCAGUUCCGCGACGGGAUUGAAAAUAGCUGGAUUUGCAGAGCAGCAGGGGAGAGCGGUGCUGCGCGGGUGGGAGCGCAGCGCCGGGGAGCGGCGGGGCUGGGGCGGCCGGGUGGGCGCCGUGCGGCGGUGCCGGUGGCGGCGGUGGCAGUGACCUUGUGCAAUGAACCUGAGCGCUGUGGCGGCCGGGGCGCAGCGGGGCCAAGGUGCCGCGACUGGGAGUUGGGCUGCAAACUGUGCGGGUUGGUGUCUGGUUGCUUUCAGAUCGAUAUUCAGUACGAUUUGACUUUCUGCUUAAGAGAGGGCCGAGCUAUUCAGGAUUGGGAGGAGGUAUCGGAGGUAGGUCUGGAGUGAGCUGGAGCCAUCUCAGCCAUAGACAUAACCCCUGUAGAGCAUAAACAAUACUGAUUUAACUACUGAACUGGUAGAAGGAGCCCAGUUUUUAAAGAACAGUCUGGAUACUCUUGUGAUUGUAGCAUCUGAAGUACAUAGCAACAUUAGAACUAAAAUUGUAUUAUAUUUCACAACAUCCUGGUAAUAGAAGAAAUUCUGGUACAAGGGUCGACAAAAGUCUUGGGAGUCUUUAAGUGAACUUCAAUCAUUUUUGGAUCAGGUCCUGAAAAAGGUGGAUAGAAGUAACCAAGGUGUGAGCUCGUUAUGUGCAGCUCUUUGGGCAAAAAGCCAGGAUGGAAGAAAGCAGGACAAAAUUCGCUAACCAUUCUCCCUCCAGUGCUGUAUGGAUAGGUAUAUAUAUAUAGAAUGUGAUUUAAAAUAUUGCUGCAGUGUUUGAAGAUCUCGGUAUUCUUAUAUCCUGCCACCAAAAUAUUAAUCUCCAAUUCAGUGAGCCUAAAAAUGUUCACUUGGAGAUUUUGAUAAUUGGAUUUUUUGAAGAAUUUAACAUUAUUAAAUAGUGUUCAUUGCCUAUCUGUUAUUUUAGUUUCCUCAUCUGAA
rnacentral:lncRNA from 1 species